rnacentral:rRNA from 1 species
UACGUAGGGAGCAAGCGUUGUCCGGAAUCAUUGGGCGUAAAGCGCGCGUAGGCGGCCCUGUAAGUCCGUUGUGAAAGUCAAAGGCUCAACCUUUGAAAGCCGAUGGAUACUGCAGGGCUAGAGUCCGGAAGAGGCGAGUGGAAUUCCUGGUGUAGCGGUGGAAUGCGCAGAUAUCAGGAGGAACACCAAUGGCGAAGGCAGCACUCUGGGACGUGACUGACGCUGAGACGCGAAAGCGUGGGGAGCAAACAGG